rnacentral:misc_RNA from 1 species
UCCGAGUUGACCCCGGCAGUCCCCUGCGAGUCCCCGCCAUUACGCGCUGGCAACACAGGACAAGGGUUGCGCUCGUUGCGGGACUUAACCCAACAUCUCACGACACGAGCUGACGAUAGCCAUGCAGCACCUGUGCAAGCUUCCCUUGCGGGAUCGUCCCACUUUCAUGGUUCUACUACUUGCAUGUCAAGGCCAGGUAAGGUUCUUCGCGUUGCAUCGAAUUAAGCCACAUACUCCACCGCUUGUGCAGGCCCCCGUCAAUUUCUUUGAGUUUUAGCCUUGCGGCCGUACUCCCCAGGCGGGGCACUUAAUGCGUUAGCUACGGCACGGAACCCGUUGAUAAGGCCCCACACCUAGUGCCCAACGUUUACGGCGUGGACUAC